CAGUAGCCGCGGUAAUGCGUAGGGCACGGGCGUUAAUCGGAAUUAUUGGGCGUAAAGCGAGUGUAGACGGUUAUUUAAGCCAGAUGUGAAAUACCCGAGCCUAACUUGGGAGGUGCAUAUGGAACUGGGUAGCUAGAGUGUGUCAGAGGGAGGUAGAACUCCACGUGUAGCAGUGAAAUGCGUAGAGAUGUGGAAGAAUACCGAUGGCGAAGGCAGCCUCCUGGGAUAACACUGACGUUGAGGCUCGAAAGCGUGGGGAGCAAACAGGAUUAGAUACCCCCGUAGUCCCUGUCUCUUAUAA
rnacentral:rRNA from 1 species